rnacentral:lncRNA from 1 species
CCCAACAAACCCAGAUUGCCUCAACAGUAGCCCAAGAUCAGACAAAACAACAAAUGAGCUGAAAACAAAAUAAAACAAGCAGCCCCAAAUAAGGCUGAUCCAAAUGACCCUGAGCCUGCAAUCCUAUCAGAAUAUUAAUACAACAAGAUUCAAUUCGAUAAAGACAUUCAGUAAAGUGCAAUACACAUGCAUACAAGCUUUCUUAAAUCAAAAUAGCCACAAAAUCAGAUACACAUUGAUAACUGAGAAUAAAAAAUUUAUUGAAGAAAUAUAUAUAUAUAUAUAUAUAUAUAUAUAUAUAUAUAUAUAUAUAUAU